rnacentral:rRNA from 1 species
GGGUCAGUAGGUUGGUCGUGCCACCGGUACGUACUGGUCUCACUGAUUCCUCCUUCCUGAAGAACCGUAAUGCCAUUAAUUUGGUGUUGCGGGGAAACAGGACUGUUACUUUGAAAAAAUUAGAGUGCUUAAAGCAAGCUGACGCUUGAAUACAUUAGCAUGGAAUAAUGAAAUAGGACGAUCGAUCCUAUUUUGUUGGUUUCCAGGAUUGACGUA